rnacentral:lncRNA from 1 species
UUAGAUAUUACUCGAUAAGUGGAACUUACAGAAUUCGCCGGAGAUCGUGUCGAUGCAGCCCUGCCAAUCUGUACGAACUCGUGAAAGGAAAAGAUGUAUUGGCGAAAUCGCCGACUUGAAAGUAAAGUACGAUGAAAAAGUAGAUUGUUUAUAUUGAUGGAUGUGUUCUUUUACAAAUCUAUAGAGAUGGCUAUUUAUAGCCUGUUACAACUGAUUUCCUAACCGACUAGGAUCUAUC